UGCAGUCGAGCGGUCCCUUCGGGGGCAGCGGCGGACGGGUGAGUAACGCGUGGGAACGUGCCCUUUGGUACGGAACAACUGAGGGAAACUUCAGCUAAUACCGUAUGUGCCCUUCGGGGGAAAGAUUUAUCGCCAUUGGAGCGGCCCGCGUUAGAUUAGCUAGUUGGUAGGGUAAUGGCCUACCAAGGCGACGAUCUAUAGCUGGUCUGAGAGGAUGAUCAGCCACACUGGGACUGAGACACGGCCCAGACUCCUACGGGAGGCAGCAGUAGGGAAUCUUGCGCAAUGGGCGAAAGCCUGACGCAGCCAUGCCGCGUGAAUGAUGAAGGUCUUAGGAUUGUAAAAUUCUUUCACCGGGGACGAUAAUGACGGUACCCGGAGAAGAAGCCCCGGCUAACUUCGUGCCAGCAGCCGCGGUAAUACGAAGGGGGCUAGCGUUGCUCGGAAUUACUGGGCGUAAAGGGAGCGUA
rnacentral:rRNA from 1 species